rnacentral:lncRNA from 1 species
GCAAUUUCUUUUUGCUUUUCGUUUGCCCCCUUUUAACACGAAACGGCGUCGUUCCUGUCCUUCCUUCCAAUCAUCUUCUUCAAUUCUUUUCUUUUCGCUUUAUUUUUCAAGCAGCUCGGGGAUAAUCCCUUUUCCUUAUAUGCAAUUUCUUUUUGCUUUUUGUUUGCCCCCUUUUAACACGAAACGGCGUCGUUCCUGUCCUUCCUUCCAAUCAUCUUCUUCAAUUCUUUUCUUUUCGCUUUAUUUUUCAAGCAGCUCGACCAUGUCCUGUGUGCUUUAUUUUCUCUUUUCUUUUAAUCAGUUUGCUGGAAAACGACGUCGUUGAACGCCCGAGCCUAACUAUGGCCAACAAUUGUUGACCUCCGCCGUCCGUGCCUGCCGCCAUCGCUUCGUUCGAUGCCCACCGCCCCGCCGCCAAUGUCAAUUCCAAAAUUGCAUAUAAGGAAAAGGGUAAAUAUAUAAACGGGUAGGAUUAGGAUUGAUUAAAACGUCCAUUUUAUACCAAAAUUAAUAUAUAUAUAUAUAUAUAUAUAUAUAUAUAUAUAUAUAUAUAUAUAUAUAUAUAUAUAUAGGUUAAUAUAUAUAUGUAAUCCUAAUCCUUAGGGGUAGGAUUAGGAUUGAUUGCAUACCUGGUAAUCGAGAGUUGUGGUUGCUUGAUCAAGCGUUGCUUAUAAAAUAAAAGCGAAUCAAUACCAAUGCAUAAAAAUUGGGAGAACUGGAGAAAAAUAAGAGGAGGAUGAAAAUAAAAUCAGUACCAUGGCUGAAAAUAAAAUCAGUAACAUAUAAGAUAUUUUUCCUUAUAUGACCACGACGUCUCUGCUUCUUUUUUCUUAUACCAAUGCGUAUAAGAAAAAUUCAAUGGUUUCUCGCUUGUUAAAAUUGACCAGAAAAUGGGUGAGGAAGAAAACAUCGUAUUCAAUUCAAUGAGCCUCAGUUCUGAGGAUUAAUAGAUAGAGAUGGGAAGGUAAAUAUUUUUGCAGCGGUGGCAGGAGGAGGACAACGCACGUACGGAAGUAUGAGGAAAAAGGGAAGUGGCUGGGAAAAAGGGUUCCGUUGGAAUUAGAACCGUAGAAAUCACACCCACAAAUUUAAGAUAUAGCCGAGGAGGGCGGCGAGGCAUACUCCUGGAGGAAAAAAGCGGCGCCAUGUGAUAGGGGCAUCGGGCGAAGCGGCGGCGGACGUCGGGCGAAGCGGCGGCGGACGCCGGGCGAAGCGGGUGGCGGAGGUCAACAGUUGUGGGCGAUAUGUGAGGUCGGGUCACUGAAACGGCGUCGUUCUGUAGUGAGCAGAGUAAAAGAGAACGGAACGACGUCGUUUGGCAAUAAGCGGAAUAAAAGAAAAAAGCAGAAAUCAAGCAGGCGUGUCACACUCGAGCUGCUUGGAAAAUAAAUGAAAAAGAAAACAAUAGGAGACGCUGAUUGGAGGGAGGGAUUGAAACGGCGCAGUUUUGACCGUCCGUGCCUGCCGCCAUCGCUUCGUUCGAUGCCCACCGCCCCGCCGCCAAUGUCAAUUCCCACCUCUGUUUUCAUCCAAUUGCAGACUUCUUCUUCUCGACUCGACCGACCUCUGCAUUAUUUCUUUUCGCUUUUCUUUCUCGCUUUAUUUUCCCCUUCUUUUGUGCCCCUCUCACUCCACAGCAGUUGCUGGUCGGCGGCCCGCCGUCGUGUCGCUCCAUCCCUCCAACCGUUGUUUUCCUUU